rnacentral:lncRNA from 1 species
AUUUAGUCAAAUGCUUUCUUUAGCCAGUUUUUGUAUAUUACAUGUUUCCAAGAAAUGAGUAAUUUGUUUAGAAUUUUAAAACUUUAUUUGCCCAAAGUUGCAUGGCUUUCUUUUAUGCUCUCUAAAAUUGCCUCAUCUUGUUACGCCUCCUUUUUACACCCCAAUCAUCUGGCAUAAGAAACCUGUGUCUGCUUGAUUCUCUUCCUUGGCAGGAACAUUUCUCCUUCAUCUUCUGUGUUCUGAAGUUUCACUCUGAUAGCUAUAAUUGUAGGCAUUUAAAAAUUUUUACUCAAGGACUUAGUUGUCUUUUUUCUUAAUUUAAAUAUAGAUAUUUUCAAACAUGAAAUAGAGGAGAGAAUAUCAUAAAGAAUCUCCAUAUAUCUCAGUAGUGUUGCUGUGUCACUUCUUAAAUUAGUAAAAAUAAUAAAUGUUAACAAUAUUUAAAUAAGUUUUCUUUGCUUUCUCGUUCUUUAGACUAAAAUUAAAUUAGACACUAGAACUUCUAGAUUUAUGUUCCGUGCUUCUUAAUUUUUUAAUAAUACUUUCAUUUUUAAAUCUUUUAUUCUUAAUCACUUGCUUGAUCUCACAUAUAAUUUUUUUCACAUCAGCUGCAUGCCUUUUGUUGUUUCUCCAAUUUUUAGUGAUUACACAAAUAUUUAUGAGCUAAAUAUUAAUUUCCAAGAACUGUAUUUGAUUAUUAGCAUGGAUGCAGUAGCUUCCUGACUCUUCCAAAUACAUGAGUAACACAAAAUUUUCUAAAUAUUUGAGUCUUCUGUUUUCUCACCUAAAUCCAUUUUCUCAGAUGAUAGUUGCAUGGGUUGAGUUUGUUGCCUCUCUUGUACUUGUUUUCUGAAAAUGUUUGGGAAUGACUGAUUGUAUGUUCAUGGGUGUCCCUGAGUUGUAUUUUUUUAAGAAUGCUGUUUCUGUUUAUGGUGAACAACUUCUACUGAUGGGGAGGAGGGGGACUGGUGGCUUGUGUUUAGGAAACAGGAGUUCCCUGUGUCUUCUAGGGCUACUGUGUUUUGGGGCACUUUGCUGUUUUUCUGUCCCUGACACUUUUAUCACUGCUACUUUCUGAUUAGUAUAGAGGAGGCAGGAAAAUCGCUCAUAUGUAACUGCAAAUGCAAGCACCCUGUUGGACAACUCACAUUCUUCUUCGGCUUCUUGUGACAAUUAGUUCUGGCCUCAUAGGCUCUUAGAACUGCUUCUUUGCCUGCAGAAGGCUCCUUCCAGACAUAUUCUGAGCACUGAUUUCCUCUUUUGGUUGUUAUUUGUUUAUAUAUGAGGAUCUGUUUUCUCUGCUUUGUAUCACUUAAGAAUUACUGAGCAUUUCUGGUCCACUGAUUCACUGGUGGCACCCUAUCUUUUCCAACACUGUUAAAAUUUUCUUUCCUCCUCCUGUUUUUCUUAUUCUUCUCUUAACAGGAUUUGGGAUAUCAUAGGUUAUAUUUUACCCUCUGCCGCCAUUUGACUACUGCUUGGCUUUUGGCAAAAUUGGGUUUUUAAUCACUGCUCUAGAAAAUCUUCACAACAGUUGACUUCUCAGCAGUAUUUGUAAGCAAGUGGAUUUUACAUAUUUUAUAAUCAACUUUGAGUUAUUCUUUUAUGACACUUCCAUUUUUUUGAUGAGUAUAAUCAAGGCAUAUCUUAUCAUUUCAAUUUUUUUAAGUUAUAGUCUUCUUGUAAGUUUACUCUAAAACAUAUAUAGCAUUCAUUCUCAACACAUGCACAAUGAAGACAAUUCUCAGUGUUCUUGGGUACUGGGUACAAUUGGACUUUUGUGAAUCUUAGUGGUGAGAGGGAUAUUCUCAUAAGUAUUAAGAUGCUAAUGCGGCCGGGCACAGUGGCUCACGCCUGUAAUCCCAGCACUUUGGGAGGCCGAGGCGGGUGGAUCACAAGGUCAGGCGAUCAAGGCCAUCUUGGCUAACGCGGUAAAACCCCGUAUCUACUAAAAAUACAAAAAAUAAGCCGGACAUGAUUGUGGAUGCCUGUAGUCCCAGCUACUCGGGAGGCUGAGGCAGGAGAAUGGCGUGAACUCAGAAGGUGGAGCUUGUAGUGAGCCGAGAUUGCGCCACUGCACUCCAGCCUGGGAGACAAAGCAAGACUCCUCCUCAAACAAAAAAAAAAAAAAAAAAGAGAGAAAUUUUGCCUUAUGGGGGGGUAUUUCCCGAAUAGGAGGCACCAAUCCCCACCAUAUGGUGAUGAAGCCAGACGUAGAAUUUCUUGAUCUUAAACUUAUUAAAUACUCUUUUCACUUUAUGGAGUAGAGCUAAUUCUAUAGCAGUUGACAAAUAGAUACAACAGGGAGUUUAAAAAUUCUUUCCAACUUAUUUCCAAGUAAGCUCACACACUCUUAAAUUAUUAUUUUCCUUAACCAUGACCCCUCUCUGUUCAGUAGCCAUUUGUAACAAAACAAACAAACAAACAAAUCUCAAACAUGGCAGAAGAGGCUUCUGCCCUGGUAAGUGAAAGGUUGGUAUUUCAGAACUGGGAAUACUCUCUUUUAAUAGGGGGCUAAGGUAAGCCUAGAUGUCCCUACAGUCUGUAGUUUUCUGGGAUUGUUUUCUUCUUUGAUAUCGAAAUGCCAGUAGACUGUCUCUUCUAACACAUAGCAUAAGGUUCAGUGUAACUAGUUUUGAGAUUUCUUGCCGAAAGUGUGGAAGUCCACAAAUUCAUCCCGACUGUCCCCCGCAUUCUCACCUGACCUAGAUGCCUACUCACUUCUUUGUUGUCAUCACUUAACUGGUGACUCUGGCAGCUUUCCUAUCCAUGAUGGGGGCAUCUUCCCUUCCCUAAUUCCUCAAGGCACAGCCAAAACUGUAUGUCACAUUAAAUGAAAUUCUAUCAAAUAUUUUGUGUGUCAGAGACUGCUUGUUUUCUCUAAUAUCCACUCUUUCCUUUUCAUUUUAAUAACAAAUUCACAGGUUUUAGUUGGACACAUGCUUGGGUGUUAAACUGUUUCCCUGCUUUGCUUGCAGAUAAAUUCUGGUCAAGGAAAUUAGAACAGAAGUGAUAAAGCAGUACAUACAAUGUCCAGACUGCAUCCUUGAAAGAAAAGUAAUAUCUCUUCCAUUGGUUGGUAUGUAGAUGUGAUGGCUGGUGCUGGAGCAACCAUCUUGGAGUCAAUAUGGAAGCCACGUGUGAAAAAAGAACAAAAAGAUUAGAGGAGCUCAAGACUCCAAAAUUCAGGAGUCAGCAUAUUAACCUUGGACUGCUUAAACUUGAAUGAAAUGAAAGAGAAAUAAAUAUCUCAGUUCAAGCUACUGAGCUUUUGUCCUUUACAGAUAAACCAUAAACUUUGAGAACAUGAAAGAGAAUAACAGAAGCAAAUUUAAAGCUGAUUAGUAGACCCUUGUUCAGAUUUCCUGGAUCAAAUGUUCCCAAGACCUGUGAGGUCAUGUGGUUUCAGAGACAUAAGCUAAGCUUGGUAUAUAUUACAGAGAAGCCAUCCCAUCCGGGCGCGACCACUCUGAAGGUAAGUGUUAAUCCCAAUCUGAUUUCGUGUGUGUGCAACAGCUGUUGGGAACAUUAGGACUGCCAUCUGUGUCCAAUGGAAUGAUUUCCUACCACUUGGCCUCAUAUGGCCCAAAAGGUAAUUUAGUGCAUAUUGGGAAAUUCCUGAAACAACAUGAGACUUAACACCAUUUUCCCAUCAAAUCCUUGGAGUUUUUGUUGAUGUUUAGAGAGCCCACGGAGGUGUGAAACUACGGGUCUGGGGAAUGGAAUGGUUUACUCAUAAAAUCUGGGAUCUUUAUUUGGGGGUUCUUUCUCCAAGAUAAAUUCUUGUGUGUUUCCAAGAAUAAGUUCAAUGCCAUACUUGGAGUAAAACUGUCCUUGAACAUGAGGAUUAAAAUCCUGUGUUCUGGUGAUGGUCAUUUUCUGUACCCACUUGGUAAUGCAGGAGUACCUAUCAGACGUUUGCAGACUCUUCAUUUGCAUAUGAAAAUCUCAAUGACUUAGAUUUACUGUCAAUAAUUUUACUCAUGAAAAGUAAAACUAAAAUAUUCGUGAAAAUCUUAGUGUUCUCUGACCUCUCCUAGGGUAGGACCCAUCUUCCUUAAAUUGUUUUCUUUAUUUUUCUAAGUUCUUUAUCCUAUUCCAUCAGCAUAAAGAAAAUAUCUGCUUAAGCUGAUUUACGUUCAAGUGUGAGUAAAGGAGAGAUAAUCUAAGCUGUAAACCACACUAAAGAUACGGAUUUGCAUUUUUUAAAGUGAUGCUUGGUACUUAAUCUGAAUUUAGCAAAGCUGACUUGAUCCCAACCUUCGAGCAGCUGCUGAAAUACCCAUUUUUUAGGAAGUCUUUUCAGAAUGAUUAGGACAGGAUAAGGCUGUUCUAUCCUGCCUCGCAUUUUGGCUUUCCUCCUGGAUCCAGCUGUCAGCAGUUAUGUCAGUUUGAAAUAUAACUGUUAUUUGAAACAUAACGUUUUCAAGAUACAACAGCUAAGAUAGUAUUUUCAUGUAGAAUUUAGUACAUUUGCACCCCUUAAAAGAAGGCAAUAAUUGAAACAUUUAUUUGAUCACCUACUAUGUACCAGUCACAUGCACCUGCACGUGUCUAGUUCUUUGUGUAGUUCUUUUACAUGACAUUAAAUAUCUAUUAUACUCUAGAAUUUGGGGGGAUAGAACCACUAU